UCUGCCAGCAAGUUUUUCUUCACCACAACAGAAACCAGUUUCUGUGGCUUCCUACCUGCAAGUAGCCCAUCAAAGCCAGAAAUAGCCAGUUGUUGUGUAAGAUGGGAGUGGCCAGACUUCAGCCACAACUCCCUGAUUUCAUUCACUGAAGAUGUACUCUUCACAGUCCUUUAGUCAGAUCAGGCCUCAAAGCGAGCAAAGGAUAUUCCAGAACAGCAAGGACCUUACCCCAACACAGGAAGGAUCUCCAGGCAGUUUCCUUCCGAGUGGCUGCAGAUCCUGGAACCAAGCUCUGUGGCAGCCAGUGUAAACCUACUCAUACACUUUGACAUGUUCUUCUGUUGUGGAGUCAUCUGCUACUGCCCUGUCUAAAAUUUGGAGCGUGG